UGGUGCCUAUUCCUGAGUAGUUUCUUUACAACAUGCAGUCACACAUGAAUACGGAGGGUUGAACUGAGGCUUUUCAUUGAGUGAGUAGAUGGGUAGGUGUGACUGUGACUUGACUUUAAUGCACGCCACAUUUCUGCCGUCAGAGGAGAAAAUUGCCUUAAAUACUGGGGGGAGUUAGCAACGGUUGUGUGCAUUGUGCCUCUGGAGGCGACUGGACAGAUCUACAACCAAUCAGAGCAAUGCAAUGUGACAUAGCGCAGAUCAACAGCAACAAAGCUGCAAUCUUGGUUGUUUAUGAAAACACUGAAGCAGCUGUGGACAAUGAUUGGUCCGGUCUAACUGGAACUUGCGAAAAAUGGUUCAGAAUUUCAGCAGCUCCAAACCCUCCUGCCAGUGAAAAUGAAUAUGAGCUGGCUGAUGGGUCUGGUGACGCCAGGCUGAAGAUGAAGAAAAUGUAACAAACUACCAAAAUACUUUGUUAAGAAUUA